UACGAAGGGUGCAAGCGUUACUCGGAAUUACUGGGCGUAAAGCGUGCGUAGGUGGUUCGUUAAGUCUGUCGUGAAAGCCCCGGGCUCAACCUGGGAAUGGCGAUGGAUACUGGCGGGCUAGAGUGCGGUAGAGGGUGGUGGAAUUCCCGGUGUAGCAGUGAAAUGCGUAGAGAUCGGGAGGAACAUCAGUUGCGAAGGCGGCCACCUGGACCAGCACUGACACUGAGGCACGAAAGCUAGGGGAGCAAACGGG
rnacentral:rRNA from 1 species